UUUAAUUUAAUAAAAUAACAACUUUAUUAAUUCAAAUAUGCAUUUACUUUGAUAAAUGAUUUCUGUUUAUGCAUACUAGACAGAAUUACUUAACAGUCAUGUGUAUGCUAUCAAAUGUUAAUGAAUAACAGAAAGCACUCUUUCAUGCAUGCAACUCAUGCAUUAAUCAAUUAAACGGGCCAAUAUUUCCUUUCUAAUUAGGUGAAAGUCUUACAGUCACAACCGUAAUAGUGACUCUUCACAAUAUUACGGUAAUAACCGUCAUAAGGAAACUUUCAUGCAUGUGCCUUUACGUUUGUUACCGUAAAACCCAGGUUUCAUGUCGAACCUUUAAACAAACGACCAUUAUGCACACAUGAAACAUCGUGAUUUUAAUUGAUUUAUUGCAAAAUCCAUUACGUGAAUGACUACGUUCAUUUCGUAACUUGAUCAACAACAACCCGUUUAAUUUAGUGGCUGACAUAUAAAGCCCUUUAUGGCAUCGUAAGAUUCCGUAAUUAUAAUAAUAAAACAAUCGUUCAUAGAUUGAUUGAGUGUGUCGUAUCGUUACGUUCGUUUACGAUGCCAUAUUCAUAUGCAUGAUCAUCAACGCACACUUUAACAAAUACCAUACGUUUAAGUGCCGUAUGCUUAAUUACGAUGGAUUAUACUAAUCUCAUGAACACUCUUUAAAACGAAUGAAACCGUAUAUGUUCACAAGCACAUGAGAACUAAACCGAGAAUGUUCUUAACAUUUUUCAAAUGCCUAGUGAGUGAAUUAAUUAAAUCUAAGAUGGCUCUGAUACCACAUGUUAAAUAAUUUUAUGAUUUCAAUUAUGAAAUCUACACCAAGAACUGAUCUAGAUUUGAUUUAAUUCAACCCUAACACAUUUCUAAUGAAGGUAGAAACACUAACCUUGAUCCAUGCUUGGAUGCAACCCCACCAAUUGAUGUUCUCCUCUUUAACCUUCUCCUUUUGGUGAUUUCCUUGAUGGACAAGAAAUCCCAAACCUUCCUUAAUCUCUCCUUUUGAUAAUCAGUAUUGUUGUUUUUGUGUGUUUAGAGAGACUCGUUUUCUUACAUACAUAAAAGACAAUGCACACGAGGCCUUUUAUAUUAGUCAAAGGGUUGUGUGUUGCAACACAACUCUUCACAAUUAUAAUAACCGUAACACACGUAUACUGAUAUAUAUUAUAUACCAUUACUUAAUGUAUAUAACAUAUAUGCAUAUAAUUAUGAGAUUAAAGACAUUUAUGAAUAUAAGGUAAAGUAGGAGGGUUAUCAAUACACCCGGAUUCUAACUCUUUAAUCGAAACCGAUCCAUCACGGUAUCAUCUUUUAUAUUAGAAUCUAAAAACAUCAAUAUAUGAACUUGAAUUUUAUAUUAAACCAAUAGAUACAUAGGUCACAUAAAAUAUAAAAUAUUCUUACAAAUAUCUCUAAUUAUCUUCCUCACCACAAGAAUACAAGAUCACUUGUUUUUUUUUUUCUUUAGUUGUUAUUUUGGGCCAUGAAAGCUCAAAAAAACUUGGUAAGUUGGGAGAGUACUUAAAUCACAUGGAAAGUCAAACAUUUGAUGUUCAUCAUGUGCUCUCUCAUUAGUUUGAAAUCGAUCUUGAUACGCACAGGGUUGUCAGAGUGGAGCCAGAUCCUUAAAUGCAACAACUGAACUUAUUUCUGCUGGUUUCAAGAAAGUGAGAAACGUAGGAGGUGGCUAUCUGGCUUGGGUGGACCACAACUUUCCCAUCAUUAAGGAGCAGCAGCAAUCUGCAAACUAAGAGAUGCAUGCACCCUCUUUAAAUUUCCUUUUAAUAUAAUGCAAACUGUGAUGUAAUAAUAGCUCGCUAUCUCUCUUUCUCUGUAUUUAGAAUUUGCAGUGUGUUGUUGUGUUAUCAUAAAGAAAAAGAAAAGAA